rnacentral:rRNA from 1 species
AACGUAGGACGCAAGCGUUAUCCGGAGUUACUGGGCGUAAAGCGCGGGCAGGCGGCUCUCAACGUCUGAUGUGAAAUCUCCUCGCUCAACGGGGAGAGGCCAUUGGAAACGGUCGAGCUGGAGGGCAGUAGAGGUAGGCGGAAUUCCGGGUGGAGUGGUGAAAUGCGUAGAGAUCCGGAGGAACACCAGAGGCGAAGGCGGCCUACUGGGCUGCACCUGACGCUGAGCCGCGAAAGCCAGGGGAGCGAACGGG